rnacentral:rRNA from 1 species
UACGUAGGGUGCAAGCGUUAAUCGGAAUUAUUGGGCGUAAAGCGUGCGCAGGCGGCGCGUUAAGACAGGUGUGAAAGCCCCGAGCUUAACUUGGGAAUUGCGCUUGUGACUGGCGUGCUGGAGUGUGGCAGAGGGAGGUGGAAUUCCACGUGUAGCAGUGAAAUGCGUAGAGAUGUGGAGGAACACCGAUGGCGAAGGCAGCCUCCUGGGCCAGCACUGACGCUCAUGCACGAAAGCGUGGGGAGCAAACAGG